GAUGAAGAACUUAGCGAAAUGCGAUACGUAAUGUGAAUUGCAGAAUUCAGUGAAUCAUCGAAUCUUUGAACGCAUAUUGCGCUCUUUGGUAUUCCGAAGAGCAUGCUUGUUUGAGUAUCAGUAAACACCUCAACCUCUUCUUGAUUUUUCAAAAGGAGGGUGGACUUGAGCUAUCCCAACAACCUUUACCGGUCGGCGGGCGGCUUGAAAUGCAGGUGCAGCUGGACUUUUAUCUGAGCUAAAAGCAUAUCUAUUUAGUCCUCGUCAAACAGGAUUAUUACUUUUGCUGCAGCUAACAUAAAGGAUAAUUGUCCUCUUUGCUGACUGAUGCAGGAUUUUACGACACUUUAUGUGUUGUUCAACUCGAUCUCAAAUCAAGUAAGACUACCCGCUGAACUUAAGCAUAUCAUUAAGCGGAGGA
rnacentral:misc_RNA from 1 species